rnacentral:rRNA from 1 species
UACGUAGGGGGCUAGCGUUAUCCGGAAUUACUGGGCGUAAAGGGUGCGUAGGUGGUUUCUUAAGUCAGAGGUGAAAGGCUACGGCUCAACCGUAGUAAGCCUUUGAAACUGAGAAACUUGAGUGCAGGAGAGGAGAGUGGAAUUCCUAGUGUAGCGGUGAAAUGCGUAGAUAUUAGGAGGAACACCAGUAGCGAAGGCGGCUCUCUGGACUGUAACUGACGCUGAGGCACGAAAGCGUGGGGAGCAAACAGGAUUAGAUACCCCCGUAGUCCCUGAG